GAGCUGCUGCUGAAUAAAAUCAUCUUUCACCUGCCUACAGCUUCCCAAAUGUUCUUGUUGCUCAUCUACCUACUCCCUUCAGACCUCAGCAUGGACUGGAAGCUGACCCCAAGCAUGAUAAUUGGCAUAGUUUUGAACCUGACAGGCAAUUAAGUGAUGAGACUAGGUGAGAUCAACAGGGAAAUGAGUGUAGAGAAUAGAAGAGAUUCAAGGGCUGAGGCUUGGAUGCUGUCCUGUUACGAGUAUAGCGAAAUAAGAGGAAACAGGCAGAGGGAACUGAGAAAGAGUUGCCAGUGACUUUGGAGCAAGCGAGAGGGCGGUGUCCUGGAAGUCAAUGAAGACAAUGCUUCAAGGAGGAGUGCAGUAACUUUAAAUUCCUCAAAUCCCCUGAGUGCAAGGCCAUGGCUCAGAGAAGCCCUGCAGACAACGGCAUUAAUCUCCCCUACAAGGACUUGACCUCCGAGGUAACCAGACGCCGAGUCACCAUGACCACGAGAAAAGAGAUAAUUACCCAGAAAAGUGAUGAAGCCAAGGAGAUGCUCUCCCACUUGGAUUUGGAACAAACCCCUCCCCCUCGCAGGACCCACCUCACAGUACCUCCUGCCCCACCUCCUUCUCCAGCUGAGGAUCCCACAGUCUCCUAAGAUGUGAAACUUAUUUUGAAGUGAAUUCUUACACAGAACUCCAGAAAACCGUUUCAGUGGCAUUCUUGAGGUUUGUCUUAGAAGAUUCUUGAAGAUCUUUGUUCUUUCCUAUUUUUCUUCAUCACCUAGAACCACUAUAGAGCAUGGUUUACCCUUGCUAAUAUACUUAGCCGUUUUUGGUUUUUCAGUCCAAGUCUCUGAUAUGAUAUGCAUAUAUUUUGAUCUUUCAUUUAUGUUAUGUUAUAGAACUGUUGCUGUAGUCAGUUGUAUUCAAAUUAAUAAACAAUUAUCAGGCCUCGUUGUUUAUUACUAAAUCUGAAUCAGUGAAAAGUCUAGGCCUUUGAAGUCCAGAAUUUAAAGAUCUUAGGUCCUGGGAAGCCUGAGGUAGCUGGAUUUUCAAAACACAACCUGAGACACUACAGUUGU